rnacentral:rRNA from 1 species
CCUACGGGAGACAGCAGUGAGGAAUAUUGGUCAAUGGGCGCGAGCCUGAACCAGCCAAGUAGCGUGAAGGAUGACUGCCCUACGGGUUGUAAACUUCUUUUAUCAAGGAAUAAAGUGCGGCACGUGUGCCUUUUUGUAGGUACUUUAUGAAUAAGGAUCGGCUAAAUCCCUGCCAGCAACCUCGGGAAUAAGGGGGAUUCGUGCGUUAUCCGGAUUUUUUGGGUUUAAAGGGAUGGUAGAUGGGUUGUUAAGUCAGUUGUGAAAGUUUGGGGAUCAACCGUAAAAUUGCAAUUGAUACUGGCGGUCUUGAGUAGAGUAGAGGUAGGCGGAAUGCGUGGUGUAGCGGUGAAAUGCUUAGAUAUCACGCAGAACCCCGAUUGCGAAGGCAGCAUACUAGACUCCCACUGACAUUGAUGCACGAAAGUGUGGGUAUCGAACAGGAUUAGAUACCCGUGUAGUC